GACGAACGCUGGCGGCGUGCUUAACACAUGCAAGUCGAACGGGCCCGCUCUCUUUUUUGGGGGUGGGUUGAGUGGCGAACGGGUGAGUAUCACGUGAGUAACCUGCCCCCUGCUCCUGGAUAACUGCUUGAAAGGGCGGCUAAUACGGGGUGUGCCGGCUGGUCCGCAUGGGCCUGGUCGGGAUAGUUUCAUCUUCGGGUGUUUCGGUGGGGGAUGGGCUCGCGGCCUAUCGGCUUGUUGGUGGGGUGAUGGCCCACCAAGGCGGGGACGGGUAGCCGGCCUGAGAGGGUGGGCGGCCACACUGGGACUGAGACACGGCCCAGACUCCUGCGGGAGGCAGCAGUGGGGGGUAUUGCACAAUGGGCGGAAGCCUGAUGCAGCGACGUCGCGUGAGGGAUGGAGGCCUUCGGGUUGUGAACCUCUUUCUCCGGUGGUGAAGGCCCUGUCCGUUGCGGCGGGGUUGACGGUAGCCGGGUAUGAAGCGCCGGCUAACUACGUG
rnacentral:rRNA from 1 species